rnacentral:lncRNA from 1 species
AUUCCAAAAAUCAACGAAAUAGCUUUGAGAUUGCUUUCAGUAAUUUUGUGAUUGUAUUAUCUACCUUGAUUUUGUUGUACUACUGCUUUAGCUGUUACAACCGUUACAAAUGUCUUGCUUUUCUGCACCGUUGUGUAUUGUAUCUUUUUUGCUCGCGUUCCUCUUGUUAGUCAACUGAUCAAGAUGGAAGGUUUAGAAGUAAUCUUUUCAUAACCACCGCUUGUUUAAAUGGCAUCCAAUAGACAUUCUUUUAUA